rnacentral:lncRNA from 1 species
AUUCUACUUUAUGUCAAAAACAAGCUUCUAGAAAGAGCAGUUAUGGUAUUUCAUAAAAAUUAAUCUCUCAGAUGAUCUUCACGUCAUAACGUAGUCUAAAGGAGACAGAUGGCUAGAUCUUUUUGUAACAUUUUUAAAGUUUUGGGAUCUAUUUGAUUUUUUUUUUUGAGAUUUAAGUGUAAAUGCAUCAAAGUUUAAAGAGUGUCACGGUAAUUUUUUUCAAAAAUAUAGGAGCAAUCAGACCUCCACUUGGAGUUUAGAUUCAAUAAAUAGUGGUGUACACCUCAAGGCUCUAUAAUUUUCUUUGUUGUUUUAUCCGCUCCCACC